UACGUAGGGGGCAAGCGUUAUCCGGAUUUACUGGGUUUAAAGGGUGCGCAGGCGGAUAUGUAAGUCAGUGGUGAAAUCUCUAGGCUUAACCUGGAAAUUGCCGUUGAUACUAUAUAUCUUGAAUGUUGUGGAGGUAAGCAGAAUAUGUCAUGUAGCGGUGAAAUGCUUAGAUAUGACAUAGAAUACCUAUUGCGAAGGCAGCUUACUACGCAGAUAUUGACGCUCAUGCACGAAAGCGUGGGGAUCAAACAGG
rnacentral:rRNA from 1 species